GACGAACGCUGGCGGCGUGCUUAACACAUGCAAGUCGAACGCUGAAGCUCAGCUUGCUGGGUGGUUGAGUGGCGAACGGGUGAGUAACACGUGAGUAACCUGCCCCCUUCUUUGGGAUAACGCCCGGAAACGGGUGCUAAUACUGGAUAUUCACUGAUCUUCGCAUGGGGGUUGGUGGAAAGGUUUUUUCUGGUGGGGGAUGGGCUCGCGGCCUAUCAGCUUGUUGGUGGGGUGAUGGCCUACCAAGGCUUUGACGGGUAGCCGGCCUGAGAGGGUGACCGGUCACAUUGGGACUGAGAUACGGCCCAGACUCCUACGGGGGGCAGCAGUGGGGAAUAUUGCACAAUGGGCGAAAGCCUGAUGCAGCGACGCCGCGUGAGGGAUGGAGGCCUUCGGGUUGUAAACCUCUUUCGCUCAUGGUCAAGCCGCAACAGUGGUUGUGGUGAGGGUAGUGGGUAAAGAAGCGCCGGCUAACUACGUG
rnacentral:rRNA from 1 species